AGUGAACGCUGGCGGUAGGCCUAACACAUGCAAGUCGAACGGCAGCACAGUAAGAGCUUGCUCUUACGGGUGGCGAGUGGCGGACGGGUGAGGAAUACAUCGGAAUCUACUUUUUCGUGGGGGAUAACGUAGGGAAACUUACGCUAAUACCGCAUACGACCUACGGGUGAAAGCAGGGGAUCUUCGGACCUUGCGCGAUUGAAUGAGCCGAUGUCGGAUUAGCUAGUUGGCGGGGUAAAGGCCCACCAAGGCGGCGAUCCGUAGCUGGUCUGUGAGGAUGAUCAGCCACACUGGAACUGAGACACGGUCCAGACUCCUACGGGAGGCAGCAGUGGGGAAUAUUGGACAAUGGGCGCAAGCCUGAUCCAGCCAUACCGCGUGGGUGAAGAAGGCCUUCGGGUUGUAAAGCCCUUUUGUUGGGAAAGAAAAGCAGCAGGUUAAUACCCCGCUGUUCUGACGGUACCCAAAGAAUAAGCACCGGCUAACUUCGUG
rnacentral:rRNA from 1 species